GACGAACGCUGGCGGCGUGCUUAACACAUGCAAGUCGAGCGGUAAGGCCCUUUCGGGGUACGACGAGCGGCGAACGGGUGAGUAACACGUGGGUGACCUGCCCUCAGCUCUGGGAGUAAGCCUGGGAAACGUGGGUCUAAUACUGGAUAUGACUCCACGGUGCAUGUCGGUGGGGUGGAAAGCCUUGUGCGGCUGAGGAUGGGCCCGCGGCCUAUCAGCUUGUUGGU
rnacentral:rRNA from 1 species